CGAGUAAGCCAGACAAUCGCUGCUGCUUUUGCAGGAGAGGAAAGUCCGAGCUCCAUAGGGCAGGGUGCCAGGUAACUCCUGGUGGAGGCAACUCUAAGGAAAGUGCAACAGAGAUAUACCGCUAAAGGUAGCUUUUAGCUAUACUAGUAAGGGUGGAAAGGCGAGGUAAGAGCUCACCAGCACAUUGGCAACUAUGUGGCUAUGUAAACCCCAUCUGGAGCAAGAUCGAAUAGGAAGACUUAAUGGAAUUGCCCGUUCCGUCUUCGGGUGUAUCGCUUGAGCCUAUAUGGUGACAAUAGGCCUAGAUAGAUGAUUGUCUAACACAGAACUCGGCUUACAGGGUUGCUCGUCCA
rfam:Clostridium pasteurianum DSM 525 = ATCC 6013, complete genome.